GGUUAAGCGACUAAGCGUACACGGUGGAUGCCCUGGCAGUCAGAGGCGAUGAAGGACGUGCUAAUCUGCGAUAAGCGUCGGUAAGGUGAUAUGAACCGUUAUAACCGGCGAUUUCCGAAUGGGGAAACCCAGUGUGUUUCGACACACUAUCAUUAACUGAAUCCAUAGGUUAAUGAGGCGAACCGGGGGAACUGAAACAUCUAAGUACCCCGAGGAAAAGAAAUCAACCGAGAUUCCCCCAGUAGCGGCGAGCGAACGGGGAGCAGCCCAGAGCCUGAAUCAGUGUGUGUGUUAGUGGAAGCGUCUGGAAAGGCGUGCGAUACAGGGUGACAGCCCCGUACACAAAAAUGCACAUGCUGUGAGCUCGAUGAGUAGGGCGGGACACGUGGUAUCCUGUCUGAAUAUGGGGGGACCAUCCUCCAAGGCUAAAUACUCCUGACUGACCGAUAGUGAACCAGUACCGUGAGGGAAAGGCGAAAAGAACCCCGGCGAGGGGAGUGAAAAAGAACCUGAAACCGUGUACGUACAAGCAGUGGGAGCACGCUUAGGCGUGUGACUGCGUACCUUUUGUAUAAUGGGUCAGCGACUUAUAUUCUGUAGCAAGGUUAACCGAAUAGGGGAGCCGAAGGGAAACCGAGUCUUAACUGGGCGUUAAGUUGCAGGGUAUAGACCCGAAACCCGGUGAUCUAGCCAUGGGCAGGUUGAAGGUUGGGUAACACUAACUGGAGGACCGAACCGACUAAUGUUGAAAAAUUAGCGGAUGACUUGUGGCUGGGGGUGAAAGGCCAAUCAAACCGGGAGAUAGCUGGUUCUCCCCGAAAGCUAUUUAGGUAGCGCCUCGUGAAUUCAUCUCCGGGGGUAGAGCACUGUUUCGGCAAGGGGGUCAUCCCGACUUACCAACCCGAUGCAAACUGCGAAUACCGGAGAAUGUUAUCACGGGAGACACACGGCGGGUGCUAACGUCCGUCGUGAAGAGGGAAACAACCCAGACCGCCAGCUAAGGUCCCAAAGUCAUGGUUAAGUGGGAAACGAUGUGGGAAGGCCCAGACAGCCAGGAUGUUGGCUUAGAAGCAGCCAUCAUUUAAAGAAAGCGUAAUAGCUCACUGGUCGAGUCGGCCUGCGCGGAAGAUGUAACGGGGCUAAACCAUGCACCGAAGCUGCGGCAGCGACGCUGAUGCGUUGUUGGGUAGGGGAGCGUUCUGUAAGCCUGCGAAGGUGUGCUGUGAGGCAUGCUGGAGGUAUCAGAAGUGCGAAUGCUGACAUAAGUAACGAUAAAGCGGGUGAAAAGCCCGCUCGCCGGAAGACCAAGGGUUCCUGUCCAACGUUAAUCGGGGCAGGGUGAGUCGACCCCUAAGGCGAGGCCGAAAGGCGUAGUCGAUGGGAAACAGGUUAAUAUUCCUGUACUUGGUGUUACUGCGAAGGGGGGACGGAGAAGGCUAUGUUGGCCGGGCGACGGUUGUCCCGGUUUAAGCGUGUAGGCUGGUUUUCCAGGCAAAUCCGGAAAAUCAAGGCUGAGGCGUGAUGACGAGGCACUACGGUGCUGAAGCAACAAAUGCCCUGCUUCCAGGAAAAGCCUCUAAGCAUCAGGUAACAUCAAAUCGUACCCCAAACCGACACAGGUGGUCAGGUAGAGAAUACCAAGGCGCUUGAGAGAACUCGGGUGAAGGAACUAGGCAAAAUGGUGCCGUAACUUCGGGAGAAGGCACGCUGAUAUGUAGGUGAAGUCCCUUGCGGAUGGAGCUGAAAUCAGUCGAAGAUACCAGCUGGCUGCAACUGUUUAUUAAAAACACAGCACUGUGCAAACACGAAAGUGGACGUAUACGGUGUGACGCCUGCCCGGUGCCGGAAGGUUAAUUGAUGGGGUCAGCGCAAGCGAAGCUCUUGAUCGAAGCCCCGGUAAACGGCGGCCGUAACUAUAACGGUCCUAAGGUAGCGAAAUUCCUUGUCGGGUAAGUUCCGACCUGCACGAAUGGCGUAAUGAUGGCCAGGCUGUCUCCACCCGAGACUCAGUGAAAUUGAACUCGCUGUGAAGAUGCAGUGUACCCGCGGCAAGACGGAAAGACCCCGUGAACCUUUACUAUAGCUUGACACUGAACAUUGAGCCUUGAUGUGUAGGAUAGGUGGGAGGCUUUGAAGUGUGGACGCCAGUCUGCAUGGAGCCGACCUUGAAAUACCACCCUUUAAUGUUUGAUGUUCUAACGUGGACCCGUAAUCCGGGUUGCGGACAGUGUCUGGUGGGUAGUUUGACUGGGGCGGUCUCCUCCUAAAGAGUAACGGAGGAGCACGAAGGUUGGCUAAUCCUGGUCGGACAUCAGGAGGUUAGUGCAAUGGCAUAAGCCAGCUUGACUGCGAGCGUGACGGCGCGAGCAGGUGCGAAAGCAGGUCAUAGUGAUCCGGUGGUUCUGAAUGGAAGGGCCAUCGCUCAACGGAUAAAAGGUACUCCGGGGAUAACAGGCUGAUACCGCCCAAGAGUUCAUAUCGACGGCGGUGUUUGGCACCUCGAUGUCGGCUCAUCACAUCCUGGGGCUGAAGUAGGUCCCAAGGGUAUGGCUGUUCGCCAUUUAAAGUGGUACGCGAGCUGGGUUUAGAACGUCGUGAGACAGUUCGGUCCCUAUCUGCCGUGGGCGCUGGAGAACUGAGGGGGGCUGCUCCUAGUACGAGAGGACCGGAGUGGACGCAUCACUGGUGUUCGGGUUGUCAUGCCAAUGGCACUGCCCGGUAGCUAAAUGCGGAAGAGAUAAGUGCUGAAAGCAUCUAAGCACGAAACUUGCCCCGAGAUGAGUUCUCCCUGACUCCUUGAGAGUCCUGAAGGAACGUUGAAGACGACGACGUUGAUAGGCCGGGUGUGUAAGCGCAGCGAUGCGUUGAGCUAACCGGUACUAAUGAACCGUGAGGCUUAACCUU
rnacentral:rRNA from 1 species